GAGUUUGAUCCUGGCUCAGGACGAACGCUGGCGGCGCGCCUAACACAUGCAAGUCGAACGAGAGAGAGGGAGCUUGCUUCCUCAAUCGAGUGGCGAACGGGUGAGUAACGCGUGAGGAACCUGCCUCAAAGAGGGGGACAACAGUUGGAAACGACUGCUAAUACCGCAUAAGCCCAUAGCUCGGCAUCGAGCAGAGGGAAAAGGAGCAAUCCGCUUUGAGAUGGCCUCGCGUCCGAUUAGCUAGUUGGUGAGGUAAUGGCCCACCAAGGCGACGAUCGGUAGCCGGACUGAGAGGUUGAACGGCCACAUUGGGACUGAGACACGGCCCAGACUCCUACGGGAGGCAGCAGUGGGGAAUAUUGCACAAUGGGGGAAACCCUGAUGCAGCGACGCCGCGUGGAGGAAGAAGGUCUUCGGAUUGUAAACUCCUGUUGUUGAGGAAGAUAAUGACGGUACUCAACAAGGAAGUGACGGCUAACUACGUGCCAGCAGCCGCGGUAAAACGUAGGUCACAAGCGUUGUCCGGAAUUACUGGGUGUAAAGGGAGCGCAGGCGGGAAGACAAGUUGGAAGUGAAAUCUAUGGGCUCAACCCAUAAACUGCUUUCAAAACUGUUUUUCUUGAGUAGUGCAGAGGUAGGCGGAAUUCCCGGUGUAGCGGUGGAAUGCGUAGAUAUCGGGAGGAACACCAGUGGCGAAGGCGGCCUACUGGGCACCAACUGACGCUGAGGCUCGAAAGUGUGGGUAGCAACAGGAUUAGAUACCCUGGUAGUCCACACCGUAAACGAUGAUUAGUAGGUGUUGGAGGAUUGACCCCUUCAGUGCCGCAGUUAACACAAUAAGUAAUCCACCUGGGGAGUACGACCGCAAGGUUGAAACUCAAAGGAAUUGGCGGGGGCCCGCACAAGCAGUGGAGUAUGUGGUUUAAUUCGACGCAACGCGAAGAACCUUACCAAGUCUUGACAUCCCUUGACGAUGCUGGAAACAGUAUUUCUCUUCGGAGCAAGGAGACGGGUGGUGCAUGGUUGUCGUCAGCUCGUGUCGUGAGAUGUUGGGUUAAGUCCCGCAACGAGCGCAACCCUUACUGUCAGUUACUACGCAAGAGGACUCUGGCAGGACUGCCGUUGACAAAACGGAGGAAGGUGGGGAUGACGUCAAAUCAUCAUGCCCUUUAUGACUUGGGCUACACACGUACUACAAUGGCGUUAAACAAAGAGAAGCAAGACCGCGAGGUGGAGCAAAACUCAGAAACAACGUCCCAGUUCGGACUGCAGGCUGCAACUCGCCUGCACGAAGUCGGAAUUGCUAGUAAUCGUGGAUCAGCAUGCCACGGUGAAUACGUUCCCGGGCCUUGUACACACCGCCCGUC
rnacentral:rRNA from 1 species